AUUGAACGCUGGCGGCAGGCCUAACACAUGCAAGUCGAGCGGAUGAAGGGAGCUUGCUCCUGGAUUCAGCGGCGGACGGGUGAGUAAUGCCUAGGAAUCUGCCUGGUAGUGGGGGAUAACGUCCGGAAACGGGCGCUAAUACCGCAUACGUCCUGAGGGAGAAAGUGGUUGAUCUUCGGACCUCACGCUAUCAGAUGAGCCUAGGUCGGAUUAGCUAGUUGGUGGGGUAAAGGCCUACCAAGGCGACGAUCCGUAACUGGUCUGAGAGGAUGAUCAGUCACACUGGAACUGAGACACGGUCCAGACUCCUACGGGAGGAAGCAGUGGGGAAUAUUGGACAAUGGGCGAAAGCCUGAUCCAGCCAUGCCGCGUGUGUGAAGAAGGUCUUCGGAUUGUAAAGCACUUUAAGUUGGGAGGAAGGGCAGUAAGUUAAUACCUUGCUGUUUUGACGUUACCAACAGAAUAAGCACCGGCUAACUUCGUG
rnacentral:rRNA from 1 species